UACAGUUUAGCAGAACCCACGUAGAACCAAUGUACAAUUCUAAUUAGAAUCCCAGUAGAACCAACUGUACAGUUCAAUAGAAUCCAGUAGAACCACUGUACAAUUCAAUAGAAUCCAGUAGAACCACUGUACAAUUCAAUAGAAACCACUAGAACCACUCUACAGUUUAGCAGAACCCAGUAGAACCAAUGUACAAUUCAAUAGAAUCCAGUAGAACCACUGUACAAUUCAAUAGAAACCACUAGAACCACUCUACAGUUUAGCAGAACCCAGUAGAACCAAUGUACAAUUCAAUAGAAUCCAGUAGAACCACUGUACAGUUCAAUAGAUCCCAGCAGAACCACUGUACAGUUCAAUAGAACUCACCAAUCAUCACUGUCUUCGUCCUUCAGCCUCCAUUGGUGUUUACAAUCUAUCGGCCGCAGUGCACCCUGGGAACUGUAGUCUCACCGGCGCACAAACGUUACAGACGUUCUUUUUUAAAAACAACAGAGCGGUGACACUGAAAUGACGUCAGGGAUCGGCGCCGGAAGUGCGUGUAUUUAUGAAUUUUAAUAAAGUUGUUUUUUUCUGUUUUUCGUAACGAUAGCUCGCGCUCACAGCACCGGAACAUCGGCGGGGUUUACGGACAUUAACGUCCCGGUAGUCCCGGUAGUGAUGACAGAGAGUCCCGACAGCAGCGUCCUGCAGCGGCGGACACACAACGGAGACACCGGACCGACGGUGGUGAAGGUGGAGUCCGGUGUGCCGGUUCUAAUCCCUUCAGAGACCUCUGAGCUUCACUUCCUGCGUGCGAGGGUUCGAGAGCUGGAGAGAGAGCGGGCUGAGCUGUCAGCAGAGAACCAGAGACUGAAGAACAUGCUGGUCCACGAACUCCCGGGGCUUCUGUCCACCAUGUGGCAGACGUUGGGCCAGGCCAACAGUCACCACUGCGUCUCCACGGCAACGGGCAGGAGCGACAGUUACGCUCCGUACUCGCAGCAGCUCUCAACCAGUCAGGACGCAGACCUCAGCCCCCAGGUGAGCCUCCAGCAGCUGCAGGAGGACCUGAACGGGGACAUACUGGAGUCCUGGGGCCCGUUGGGCUCUGAGGACGAGGAGGGGCCAGGAGGAGUAGACCUGGGCCUGGGGAGCCACAUGGGAGAGGAGGCACCGCUCUGCAGACAGACCGACAUGGAGGAGCUGAGGAGGAGCUGCUCUGAGAGCCAGUGUGCCGCCGGACCCCCUAACGGACAUGUGAGCCAGGUGGAGGUGUAUCCGGGCUCUGGGGUUCUCUGUGAAGUCCGCUCAUGGCAGGCAGCCAAUCAGGCGCAGUCCCCCACGGCGAUGGCACGGACGCUGCUGAUGGGCGUGUUUGAUAUGAACACACUGAUGAACAGCAACCUGCGAGGCGGACGGAGCCGCCGACCCGCCUUUCAACCACAACGCAGCGCGCUCGACCCGCACAAGAUCAGCGCCAUCUUCAGUAGGUUCAAAGACUGACAUCUUCCUCUCUCAGUCUUCCUCUCUCAGUCUUCCUCUCUCAGUCUUCCUCUCACAGUCUUUCUCUCACAGUCUUCCUCUCUCAGUCUUCCUCUCUCAGUCUUCCUCUCACAGUAUUCCUCUCUCAGUCUUCCUCUCACAGUAUUCCUCUCUCAGUCUUCCUCUCACAGUCUUCCUCUCUCAGUCUUCUUGUCACAGUCUUCCUCUCUGUCUUCCUCUCUCAGUCUCCCUGUCACAGUCUUCCUCUCUCUGUCUUCCUCUCACAGUCUUCCUCUCUCAGUCUUCCUCUCUCUGUUUCUCAGAUGCCAUCUUGGCUCGGUUUCCUCUGGCCAAGAAAGGAGUCAUUGGCUCUGGCAUCAACUCCAAAUUGUCUGAGAUCCGCUUUCGCUCCAGGAGAGCCAAUCGAGACCCCCGAUUCCUCUGACGACAGACAGACAACUCCUCCUACCUCACAGAAAAAAAUAUCCAGUUGUCCAAUGAGAACACAGCAGUCUGGAGCUUCUGGACCAAUGAGCAGUUUAAGUUCUCUGUUCAGUUUCAGGUCAGGUCUGGUUCACAUAUCUCUGACUUUGUUGCUAUAGAGACCUGUUGGGAAGCUGUGCGUAGCUAUAAUGACCCAGACAUAGAGACAAAACAACCUCAAAGACACAAAACAACCACAAAGAGACACAAAACAACCACAAAGAGACACAAAACAAUCUCAAAGACACUAAACAACCACAAAGAGACACAAAACAACCACAUAGACACAAAACAACCACAAAGAGACACAAAACAACCACAAAGAGACACAAAACAACCACAUAGACACAAAACAACCACAAAGAGACACAAAACAACCACAAAGAGAUACAAAACAGACACAAAGAGACAAAACAACCACAAAGACACAAAACAACCACAAAGACGCUAUAAUGAUCCAGACAUAAUGACAAAGACACUAAACAACCACAAAGAGACUAAACAACCACAGACACUAUAAUGAUCCAGACAUAAUGACAAAGACACUAAACAACCGUAAGACACAAAACAACCACAAAGACACUAAACAACCACAGAGACAAAACAACCACAAAGAGACUAAACAACCACAGAGACUAAACAACCACAAAGACACAAAACAACCACAAAGAGACACAAAACAACCGCAAAGACACAAAACAACCACAAAGAGACUAAACAACCACAAAGAGACUAAACAACCACAAAGACACUAAACAACCACAAAGACACUAUAAUGAUCCAGACAUAAUGACAGACACUAAACAACCACAAAGACAUAAAACAACCACAAAGAGACAAAACAACCACAAAGACAUAAAACAACCACAAAAAGACAAAACAACCACAAAGACACAAAACAACCACAAAGAGACAAAACAACCACAAAGACACAAAACAACCACAAAGAGACUAAACAACCACAAAGACACAAAACAACCACAAAGAAACUAAACAGCCACAGAGAGACUCUAAAUGUAUUUCGUGUGUCCUCAGCUCCUCUAAGUCGGGACAGUCAUGUUUUUGUUGAUUUUGUAUUUUCAUGUGUUACAGAUGUGUUGUGUAUUUUUCUUCCUGUUGGUUCUGUAAAUGAUCAUCAAUAAACAAUAAUACAUGUAACAAUGAACGUCAGUUUGUUUCCUCCUCUUCCUCCUCUUCCUCCUCUCACAGCUUCACACCUCCUCAGGAAUGUGUAUGUGUGUGUGAACCGUCCAUUCAGAACUCCAUUUGAAUAUGAAUCAACUGUUGCGGAGUGGAAAACACCCGACACAAAGACAUUCUCCUUGACAUUCUGCUUCACCUCCUUCUCUCUCUGUCUCCCCCAUCCUACCCCCUCCUCCCCAGUCCUCCCGGCCUGGACUUCCUGAAACAAGGCGUCCUCCUUAAUGAAGACAAUCUGCUAUUCUUUCUGUGUGAAAGACGCUGUGAGGACUCGCUGAGACUGCCAAGGACAGAGACAAAGACACCAGGCUGGGGGAGGAGGGAGGGAGGAGGAGGAGGAGGAGGAGGGAUCAGACCUCUCCUUUCAGACAACAUGGAGGUCUGGACUGAACCCAAUCAUCAGAUCCAGAUCUCCCCAAAGACUGAAGGAGAAACUGUGAGAGAAAGUUUAGAAGAGAGGAAGAGGAGGAGAGAGGAGGUGAGAGGAAGAGGAGAAGCAGGAGGAGGUAAAAGGUCUCACUGUUGAUGUUUUAAAUGAAAACUGAUCCGGUAUCAGCUGUUUGAGGGGCUGCUCCUCUUUAAUGAUUUUUAGGUGAACUAUCUCUUUAAUUAAAUCUCCUUCACAAUAAAAGCAUCCUCUUCCUGGUUGAUUUGUGGUUUAUUAAUCUGGCUCAGUCCAAGACCUGGACCGAGACCAGCCAGCACCUUUCCCAGGACCUCCUCCAUCCAUCACACACGAGGAGGGAGUACUCUGAGCCUGUACUGAAGGAAAAAUACAAAUACUACAGUCUUACAGUACUCAGAGUACUGUAUUUACAUCCUUCCUCAGUGAAAGUACACAAGUAUUAUCAUCUUCAUUAUAGUUAAAUGUAUCCCUGGGGCCAGGAAGCAGAGCUGCUGUCUUACACACUUCUCUGCUCUUUCUUUAGAACAGUCACCCACCCAAAACCCCAUAGAGACUGUGUCUGUCCCCCGACCACCUAAAUUAUUUAAAGAAAUAAAAACAAGAGGAGUUAAACAUAAAAACCUAAUAAAAAUUAAAACCAACUCCUCAGUAGCACAAAAUAAGAGAAUAAAAUGUGGGCUGUUAAAUAUCAGGUCUCUGUCCUCUAAAGCUGUUUUAGUGAAUGAAUUAAUAUCAGAUUAUGAUAUUGAUUUACUUUGUCUUACUGAGACCUGGUUGUCCCACGAGGAGUAUGUUAGCCUAAAUGAAUGCACCCCCCCAGUCAUAUUAAUACUCACAUUCCUCGAGGCACUGGCCAAGGAGGUGGAGUAGCAGCCAUAUAUGAUUCGAGCAUUUUAAUGGACCCUAAACCUAAACUAAAUUAUAAUUCAUUUGAAAGCCUUGUUCUUAGUCUUUCUCACCCAAACUGGAAAACACUGCAGCCAGUUCUAUUUGUUAUAGUGUACCACGCUCCUGGACCGUACUCUGAUUUUAUAUCUGAAUUCUCAGAGUUUUUAUCAAGUUUAGUCCUUAAAUCAGAUAAAGUAAUUAUUGUAGGUGAUUUUAAUAUUCAUGUGGAUGUUAACAAUGACAGCCUUAGUAACACAUUAAUCCCUCUGAAAUUGAUAACCUUGUUGAUAGUGCUGCAGGCUCACUACGAUCAACAUUAGACUCUAUCGCUCAUAUUAAAAGGAAAUUAUUAAAUCAGAGGAAACUAGCACCGUGGUACAACCACCAAACCCGCCAGUUAAAGCAAAAAACAAGGAAGUACGGAAAGGAAAUAGGACACUCUUACUAAAUUAUUAGAAUAUCGCUCAAUUUGGCAUGAUAAUCUUAAAACUUAUAGAAAGGCCCUCCGUAAUGCCAGAGGAGCCUA
rnacentral:lncRNA from 15 species